GACAGAGGAUGCAAGCGUUAUCCGGAAUGAUUGGGCGUAAAGCGUCUGUAGGUGGCUUUUAAGUCCGCCGUCAAAUCCCAGGGCUCAACCCUGGACAGGCGGUGGAAACUACCAAGCUGGAGUACGGUAGGGGCAGAGGGAAUUUCGGUGGAGCGGGUGAAAUGCGUAGAGAUCGGAAAGAACACCAACGGCGAAAGACUCUGCUGGGCCGACACUGACACUGAGAGACGAAAAGCUAGGGGGAGCGAAAUGGGG
rnacentral:rRNA from 1 species